GGCACCAUGUAGAAGAGCUUUCUCUACAAUAUAUAGAGGUUCAUGAUAAAAUCAUAUAUUCUUAUCAUUAAGAUUUUGAGAAUCCCAAAUUAGAAAAAUGUAUAUUAAAGUCUGAUUGGUUGCAUCUGUAGGAUUUUAUGUUGUAGCUGUAAAAUUUUAGUUGUGAAUUUUUCAAAUAAAGCAUGAUUAGUUAACGUUGGUGGUGAUUGGUUGGACUGUAGCAAGUCACUUUAGCUUUAAUUUUUAUUUACAGUCAUAAAAACCACAAAUCAUGCUUUAUAUUAGUUGUUAAAGCUACAACUAAAAAAUUAAAGUUACAGCCAAAAAAAAAAAAAAAACUAGCUAUAAAAGUCUUAUUUUCUAAAGCCUCAUCAUUUUGGCUCUAGGAAAUUUUAAACCUACAUCUCUUAAGGGCCUGACUGGUUCAAACGCAGCGGUUGCGGUUGCGGGAGUUUGUGGAUGCGGGCGGUUGUGGUUUCUAGCGGUUUUUAAAGAUUUGUACGACUGGUACUGCGGUUAAAAAUUGGUGCGUUUGCGGGUGACUUAUGACUGGUUAACUACCAAAUGCUGUAACAGUCAAAUAAUAAAUUAACAAUAUUUAUAUUUAAUAUAAUUAUAAAAAUAUCAAAAAUCAUAAAAUUAUAAUAAAUAUAAAAUUUAUAUUUAGAAAGUUAUAAUUUUAAUUUUUGAAAAUUUAUUGAAAUUGUUUUUAUUAUAAAAUUUUAUAAUAUUAAUUAAAAUAUAAUAGAUAUAUUUUAAUAUUUUCAAAAUUUCAAUUUUAAAUGUUUUAUUAAAUAUUUUUACUUUUGUAUAUAUAUUGUUUUAAAAAAAAGAAAAAAACUUUACCCUCCCGCAACCGCCCGCAACCGCAAACGCUAGCUGGAGCCAGCUUUUGAAUUUAUGAGAUUCGGAGCGGUUUGAAGCGGUUUAGAGCGAUUUGAGUGAUUGUUGCAAACCACCGACAACCGCUACCAACCGCAAAAGCUGCGUUUGCGGGUGGUAGCGGGAAAACCAAUCGCCCCCUAAAGCUAAAUCAAAAAAUCUUACACACUAAAUUCUAAAGUAAUUUUUUUUACAGUUACAGCUCAACCAAUCACCCCCAUUAUACAUUUAUAUUAAAAUUAAACUUAUUAUUAAUAUUAAAAUUAAUACUAAAAAUAGUAAUAUUUGAAAAUUAAAAUAAAAUUUAGAAGUUAAUUAGUUAUUGUAGAAAUUACAAA
rnacentral:lncRNA from 1 species